GCCUUCGUGGUGUAACAGCAGCCCACUCGGCUCGUACUUGAGAGGUCCGGGUUCGAGUCCCGGCGAGGACA
rnacentral:tRNA from 1 species